rnacentral:lncRNA from 1 species
UGGAUUGCCAUAAAGUACAAGUGACCCAUGUAUGUCUAUUUUUACACAAAGGUGAGCGUUGCCUUUUGGAACACUUUGGAAUGGCAUGGAAUAACUUCUUCCUCUCAAACAUCCAACUGAGAAGGCAGCAAUCUACUUAUCUGUGCUUCAUGAAGGUCACUAUUCUCUCAUCUUUAGAAGAACAUGUUGGACUAGAUGCUCUCUAAAGUCUCUUCAAGCUCUAAAUUUAUGAUUCUACAAAAAAUGGAGAGAUAUUGAAGAUUUUCAAGCAGGUAAGUGAAAAUUCUCAGGGCUAUGCCUUAGGAAAAUUAAUUUAGCAGCUUUU